GUAGUUGAUAGAUCCUAUAGUUCAACUUCGUUCCUAGAGACAAUAGAAGCUGGAUUCAUCUGAUACCAGAGUGUGAAGGUGAAGAUGAUUCUUCAAAUUAAAGAUGGAAGCUGACUUUUCUCACCAGAAUGGUUUAUAGAAUCAACUUGCAAAAAUAUAAGAGGUUGUAAACAAAGGAAAGAGUAAAAUAUUUUCAUUUAUCAACCUUAGAUUCUUUGUAAACUCUGUGAAAGCAGGAUAACUUCCUUAUCCUUAACACUUGGCCUAGAAUAAAUGGUAAAAAAAUAUUUGAAAUGAAUAAAAA